ensembl:snRNA U6 U6 spliceosomal RNA
GUGCUCUUCAGACGCACAUAUCCUAAAACUGGAAUGAUACAAAGAAGAUUAGCAUGAUCCCUAUACAAGGAUGACUUUCAAAUUCAUGAAACAUUCCAUAUUUUU